GUGGGGAAUCUUGCGCAAUGGGCGAAAGCCUGACGCAGCCAUGCCGCGUGAAUGAUGAAGGUCUUAGGAUUGUAAAAUUCUUUCACCGGGGAAGAUAAUGACGGUACCCGGAGAAGAAGCUCCGGCUAACUUCGUGCCAGCAGCCGCGGUAAUACGAAGGGGGCUAGCGUUGCUCGGAAUUACUGGGCGUAAAGGGCGCGUAGGCGGACAGCUUAGUCAGAGGUGAAAGCCCAGGGCUCAACCUUGGAAUUGCCUUUGAUACUGGCUGUCUUGAGUUUGGGAGAGGUGAGUGGAACUCCGAGUGUAGAGGUGAAAUUCGUAGAUAUUCGGAAGAACACCAGUGGCGAAGGCGACUCACUGGCCCAAUACUGACGCUGAGGCGCGAAAGCGUGGGGAGCAAACAGGAUUAGAUACCCUUGUAGUCC
rnacentral:rRNA from 1 species